rnacentral:rRNA from 1 species
GAUGAACGCUAGCGGCAGGCCUAACACAUGCAAGUCGAGGGAGAAGCCCUUUCGGGGGCAGAAACCGGCGCACGGGUGCGUAACGCGUAUGCAACCUACCUUUCACAGGGGGAUAGCCCGAAGAAAUUUGGAUUAAUACCCCAUAAUAUUAUUGGAUGGCAUCAUUUGAUAAUUAAAACUGCGGUGGUGAAAGAUGGGCAUGCGUCCUAUUAGCUAGUUGGAGUGGUAACGGCGCCCCAAGGCUACGAUAGGUAGGGGUCCUGAGAGGGAGAUCCCCCACACUGGUACUGAGACAGGGACCAGACUCCUACGGGAGGCAGCAGUGAGGAAUAUUGAUCAAUGGUCGGAAGACUGAACCAGCCAUGCCGCGUGCAGGAAGAAUGCCUUAUGGGUUGUAAACUGCUUUUAUAUGGGAAGAAUAAGGCGUACGUGUACGUUGAUGACGGUACCAUAUGAAUAAGCAUCGGCUAACUCCGUG